rnacentral:rRNA from 1 species
AUACUUAGUAACGGCGAGUGAGCGGUAAAAGCUCAAAUUUGAAAUCUGGUACUUUCAGUGCCCGAGUUGUAAUUUGUAGAAUUUGUCUUUGAUUAGGUCCUUGUCUAUGUUCCUUGGAACAGGACGUCAUAGAGGGUGAGAAUCCCGUUUGGCGAGGAUACCUUUUCUCUGUAAGACUUUUUCGAAGAGUCGAGUUGUUUGGGAAUGCAGCUCAAAGUGGGUGGUAAAUUCCAUCUAAAGCUAAAUAUUGGCGAGAGACCGAUAGCGAACAAGUACAGUGAUGGAAAGAUGAAAAGAACUUUGAAAAGAGAGUGAAAAAGUACGUGAAAUUGUUGAAAGGGAAGGGCAUUUGAUCAGACAUGGUGUUUUUUGCAUGCACUCGCCUCUCGUGGGCUUGGGCCUCUCAAAAAUUUCACUGGGCCAACAUCAAUUCUGGCAGCAGGAUAAAUCAUUAAGAAUGUAGCUACUUCGGUAGUGUUAUAGCUUUUUGGAAUACUGUUAGCCGGGAUUGAGGACUGCGCUUCGGCAAGGAUGUUGGCAUAAUGGUUAAAUGCCGCCCGUCUUGACCAACGGACCA